GGCCGUGUGCCCGAGUGGCCCAGGGGCUCGCCUGCGCGGCGCCGGUCAGCGAGCUCCGCGCGGGGAGUCACGCGGGUUCGAAUCCCGCCCCGGCCU
rnacentral:tRNA from 1 species